GAGCUACUCCCUCCGUUCGGAAUUACUUGUCUCGGAAAUGGAUAUAUUUAGAACUAAAAUACGUCUAGAUAUAUCCAUUUCUGCGACAAGUAAUUCUGAACGGAGGGAGUACACC
rnacentral:pre_miRNA from 1 species